AGCAGCCGCGGUAAUUCCAGCUCCAAUAGCGUAUAUUAAAGUUGUUGCAGUUAAAAAGCUCGUAGUUGAACCUCGGGGUCUACCCAUUGGUCAGGCUUAAUUGUCUGCACUGGUGAGAUGGAUCUCUACCUUCUGAGGAACUUUCAUGCCAUUUAUUUGGUGUGAUGGGAAAUCAGGACUGUUACUUUGAAAAAUUAGAGUGUUUAAAGCAGACUAUCGUCUGAAUACAUUAGCAUGGAAUAAUGAAAUAGGACGGACUGAUUCUAUUUCGUUGGUUUCUAGGAUCACCGUAAUGAUUAAUAGGGAUAGUUGGGGGCAUUAGUAUUCAAUUGUCAGAGGUGAAAUUCUUGGGAUUUAUUGAAGACUAACUACUGCUGAAAGCAUUUGCCAAGGAUGUUUUGCAAUUAAUCAAGAACGAAAGUAGGGGAUCGAGACGAUCGGAUACCGUCGUAGUCUUAACCAUAAACUAUGCCGACUAGGGAUCGGACGAAGUUAAUUUUAUAAUGACGCGUCCGGCACC
rnacentral:misc_RNA from 1 species